rnacentral:rRNA from 1 species
AGUGAACGCUGGCGGUAGGCCUAACACAUGCAAGUCGAACGGCAGCACAGUAAGAGCUUGCUCUUACGGGUGGCGAGUGGCGGACGGGUGAGGAAUACAUCGGAAUCUACUUUUUCGUGGGGGAUAACGUAGGGAAACUUACGCUAAUACCGCAUACGACCUACGGGUGAAAGCAGGGGAUCUUCGGACCUUGCGCGAUUGAAAGAGCCGAUGUCGGAUUAGCUAGUUGGCGGGGUAAAGGCCCACCAAGGCGACGAUCCGUAGCUGGUCUGAGAGGAUGAUCAGCCACACUGGAACUGAGACACGGUCCAGACUCCUACGGGAGGCAGCAGUGGGGAAUAUUGGACAAUGGGCGCAAGCCUGAUCCAGCCAUACCGCGUGGGUGAAGAAGGCCUUCGGGUUGUAAAGCCCUUUUGUUGGGAAAGAAAAGCAGCAGGUUAAUACCCCGCUGUUCUGACGGUACCCAAAGAAUAAGCACCGGCUAACUUCGUGC